GACGGAGGGAGAUUUCUGCGGUAUCAGGUCAGGUCGCUGUGGGAAAGGACUCCACUGCACGCCCCCACCCGAGCACCCGGACCCCAUCAUGGCGCUCAUCACCGGCAUGGCUUUCUGUACGAGGUUUUAGUGGACACAGACUAACAGCUCUUCGACUCAACAUCUACCUCUGAAGACGCUGGUUGAUGUCACGAGAAAGAAUGAGAAUGGACGACAAGCUAUUUCGUUACAACUUGCUUUCACAGAUUCGAUACAGUUUCUUCUCAUCUGUCCACGCCCAUUGUUGUCAUUCCAAAAAUAAAUCAUUCUUCGUCACCGA